rnacentral:rRNA from 1 species
AACAAGGUUUCCGUAGGUGAACCUGCGGAAGGAUCAUUCACAAACGAGUGUUUUAUGGCACUCUUUAAAAAUCCAUAUCCACCUUGUGUGCAAUGUUUGUUGGGAAAGUCUUUUCUUUCCCUUCAUAAAUAUCAACCUAUAUCUUUAACAACAUUCGUCUGAUAACAUAUUAUGAAUAUACUUAAUUCAAAAUAUAACUUUCAACAACGGAUCUCUUGGCUCUCGCAUCGAUGAAGAACGCAGCGAAAUGCGAUACGUAAUGUGAAUUGCAGAAUUCAGUGAAUCAUCGAAUCUUUGAACGCAUAUUGCGCUCUUUGGUAUUCCGAAGAGCAUGCUUGUUUGAGUAUCAGUAAGCACCUCAACCUCUCUUUUUGACAAAAAAAGGAGGGUGGACUUGAGCUAUCCCAACGACCUUCACCGGUAGGCGGGCGGCUUGAAAUGCAGGUGCAGCUGGACUUUUAUCUGAGCUAAAAGCAUAUCUAUUUAGUCCUCGUCAAACAGGAUUAUUACUUUUGCUGCAGCUAACAUAAAGGAUAAUUGUCCUCUUUGCUGACUGAUGCAGGAUUUUACGACACUUUAUGUGUUGUUCAACUCGAUCUCAAAUCAAGUAAGACUACCCGCUGAACUUAAGCAUAUC